UUACAGUAUUGUUUCAAAGCUGAAACUUAAAGGAAUUGACGGAAGGGCACCACCAUGAGUGGAGCCUGCGGCUUAAUUUGACUCAACACGGGAAACCUC